UAGGGAAUUUUGCGCAAUGGACGAAAGUCUGACGCAGCGACGCCGCGUGAGCGAUGAAGGUCUUCGGAUUGUAAAGCUCUGUUGUGUGGGAAGAAAAAGUCUGGUGGUAAUAUCGCCAGGCCUUGACGGUACCACGCGAGGAAGCCCCGGCUAACUACGUGCCAGCAGCCGCGGUAAUACGUAGGGGGCUAGCGUUGUUCGGAAUCACUGGGCGUAAAGGGAGUGUAGGCGGAAGGGUAAGUUAGAAGUUAAAUACACAGGCUUAACCUGUGGCCUGCUUUUAAUACUGCUUUUCUUGAGUAUGGGAGAGGGUGAUGGAAUUCCAGGUGUAGCGGUGGAAUGCGUAGAUAUCUGGAAGAACACCAGUUGCGAAGGCGGUCACCUGGCCCAAUACUGACGCUGAGGCUCGAAAGCUAGGGGAGCGAACA
rnacentral:rRNA from 1 species